rnacentral:rRNA from 1 species
GAAGUUGUAACAGUCUUGAACAGUCGUAACGGUCUCAGUUAACCACUUUACCUUCCAGACUACGUAGAACUGAAUAGUUCAACAACCUCAGACUUUCUUGAGGGUGUAAGCAAACACUCCGAGUUUCUCAACCAUAUAGACCUGAAAAGUAUGUCAGGACCACAAAAUCCUUAUGGACCUAGAAACCGGCCGGAAUGGUUUGAGGUUGUAAACCCUAAUAGUUUUACAUUUUUAGAGCCUCCUAACGGGCUUCAGUAGCCGUUAGAGUCACUCGAGGCGAUAGACUUAGAUAGUCUGACGUACGUAGUAUAGAAGAAACUGCCGAGCAGUUAUCUAGUUUGGCUCUCAAAAUAACUGGUAUAAACGUGGGAAGGAAUAUACCUCGUGGACCUAGACAGAACAUUACCAAUAGAAUAUUCAUAUGGUCUCUCACGAGCAACGGAGUCCUUUGAUCAGGAACUGUUCACGUCCGUUCAACGGUCCGAAGGUCUUACACACCGAUUUUACCUGGGAGCUUCGGAAAAACCGAAUAACAACGGUUGUAAAAGACAUUGACGUCUACUGUCAUUUACAUUGUGGUUGGAACCGAACGAACUCGUAUAUUUAGGCCUACUCGAUUUUUAACUCUUUGAACUUUUACAUUUCAAGGCUCUUCUCCGUGCGUUAUAUUUCGACUCACUCUUUGUCUCCUAACCUCUUGACUUUAAUUAGACCCUGGGUGUUCGAUUCUCUAGACACCUACUGUACCUCAACAACUCCCUCGAUCACGGUGGUUGGUGAAACUUCUCCAAACACUAUACACCAAUAUCAUCACAGUCGAAAGGUCUGACCGAUUACUCAUAACCGUUAAUAGAGGGAUUACAACAGGCUUACCUCUACAAACUAAACGGGUUGACGUUGUCAAAAGGUGGGGAGCGGGUUGAUGGUGGUUUGGAGGCCCACGAAUGAGACUUUGCGUACCUUUCGGACCUUCUUACCUUGUGCUGUGAGAGAUAACCACUCCUACUCGAGUACAAGGCAUUCGAACUCUUUCACUUAUAUGUAAAAACGGGGUUCAACUCCUAUUGUGGUGUGGAAGGAUCUCGACGUAGAACCUCAUAUUACCUUUCACUAUUAAACGAGUAUAGUACCCGGCUUUCGCACAGUGUGUUACCACGAAGGAGUAGAAGAGGUCAUCCUCAUAGAUGAUUAGACCGUCAACUUUCGUCGUUCCACGGAGACGCGGUCACCCGUAACGAAGUGGUAGAUGGACGGGCGUCACUAAACCUGUAGGUUACAACGUUACUAAACUGUUCGUGUGGUCUCUAGUGGACCCGCGAGGUCCGGGAGUUUAGUGACUGUGACGUCAAGAGACGGGUUAGUUUUGACGGCCUUACCAAUCCACUCAACUGUAGAGAACUCUUUGAUCGCUAUCACAUGUUGUUCCUCGAUCUCCUUAACGGGCUAUUGUACUCCGCUGACUUUGUCGAUGUUAGUAACUGUGACCUACGGACAACAUCGAACCUUGCAGACGGUGAUACCAAUCCUCUUGAGUGGAGAGAGUUUUUUGAACGUUAAAAACCAACGUUACGAUAGUGCUGUAACGGUCUAUAGAAUGUUGUCGAGUAUUUAGAGGUUCUUAAUCUUUAACAGCUGACGGGAUUGAAUCUCGUCACCACACUUCGUCUCCUCUUGUUCUGCUACGAACGAGUAUAUCUUGUUUGCUCAUAGUAGAGAAACAUAGAAAGGGGCUACUCCCUUCGGUAAGGGCGGUGGAGGUCGGCGGCGAGAAAGGGUAAGACCACCGGAACGACGUUUGUUACUAUUCUUUCACUAUUACCUCUUAUCUUUCGUCUCCGCACUUAGUCCUAAAUCGGUAAGUCCGGCGAACUAACCCAGCCAACUGGAGUACAGGUAGACUUAGUUUUGAGGUAUCAUUAGUACUGUGGCGUCAAGACUGCAUGAGGCACUUUUACACUAGGUCAGAGCAUGCCCCACGAAGAGCAAACCAAUAAUCAAGAUCUCCGUCUCUCGAUCGACAAACCGAAAGAACUGAGACGUUCGUCAUACACCAUUAUAGUGGACCCGCGAAGUCCGGGAGUUUAGUGACUGUGACCUCAAGAGUCGGGUUAGUUUUGACGGUCUUACCCAUCCGCUCAACUGUAGAGAACUCUUUGAUCUCUAUCGAAUCGUGCUCCUCGAUCUCCUUAACGAGUUAUUGUGCUCCGCUGACUUUGUUGAUGUUAGUAAUUGUGAUGUUCUCACAACAUCGAACUCUGUCGACGGCAACACCACAAUGCUCUUGAAUGGAGAGAGUUCUUUGACACCGCACUUCGUCUCCUCUUGUUCUGUUUCGAACGAGUGUAUCUUGUUUUUCAUAAACCGUCUAAAAGUUUAAAGGUUCGGCAAGACAGGUCUCCCAUCGGUAAGGGCGGUCGACGGCAAGAAAGGAUGAACCCACCGGGAACGACGCUUCCUUCUAUUCUUUCACUACGACAUCUUUUCUUUAUUCACAUGAGGUCAUGCGUCACCGCCUCGAUCUCUUCUUUGCAACCUCCCCGCUUUCCGUUUAUGUUGUUAGAACUCCCCCGGUUUUUGAUAUGGAAAAGAUUAAUUCGUGAAGGUUCUUUUUAAGGAAGUCUGUAAAAUAAGUCCAACCCCCCCGUACCGGGGACGUCCUUGUGUACAUCGAGGCGGUCACGGUCAUGCAAGGGACUUACUUACUACUUUAGCGUUUGCGUAAGUUUCUUCUAUAUGCUUCAGUUUCACGCCCCUAUAAACAUACAAUGGUAGGCGUCAUGUCAUCUAUAGCUCAUCUAUAAACAAUAGACGAGGGAACUGUUUCUUUUACACUAAGUCAGAGAGCAUAUUAAGCAUUCUCCAACAAAGAACUAACCAAUAAUCAGGACCUCGACCUCAGUCUUUACUCCAUCGACAAACCGGAGGAACUGAGUCGUUGAUCCAUUAACAGACUUGGAACUAAUGUGACUGUUUAUAGUCACAGAGCAAAAUAACCUAUGCUCUUUAACGCUUUGGGUCACCGGACAUUUCGUCCCUACUUUGUUUGUCCCCGCCAGGAGUCCAAUCACAGACGACAGUGAGACGUAUUGGGUUUGAAAUCUUCGAGUCCCACAGGCUGUGUUUCGCGGCGCCCACCAGACAGGGAGUGGCCUGGACGAGCCACUCGCACCAAGGAACGGC